rnacentral:rRNA from 1 species
AUGAUAUCAUGGCCGUAUUCGACCAUUUCUACAGCCUGGGGGGGCAACUUCUCCGCCCUCAACUCUGCCAUGAUCGCUUUACUGCCGAAGAAAGACGGGGCUUCAUGCAUGCGCGACUUCAGACCGAUCAGCCUCAUUCAUUCGAUCGCCAAGCUGAUCUGCAAAGUUCUGUCAAUGAGAUUGGCGUCGGUCAUCGGGACGAUCAUAUCCCCAGCACAGUCAGCUUUCCAAAAGACGAAGUGCAUCCAUGACAGUUUCUUAUUCGUUCAGAACAAUGUGCGAUCUCUACAUCACCGUAAAACCCCGGCUCUGUUACUGAAGCUUGACAUUGCAAAGGCAUUCGACAGCAUCUCAUGGGAAUUUCUUCUUGAGCUUCUCGACAAAAUGGGUUUUCCGGCGCGCUGGCGUGAUUGGGUAACCCUGCUCCUUUCCACAUCCUCGUCCUCCUACCUCCUGAAUGGCGUCCCGGGCAGCACGUUCAUACACCUGCGUGGGCUGAGACAAGGCGACCCCCUCUCUCCGCUGUAG